AUCAGGCAGCUUUUGGGUGUUGGUUCUCUCUUGGCUUACAGAUAGGAGCUCAAGUUGUCAGUCACGCCUAGGAAGUCCUUUCACCCACUGACCCAUCCUGCCAACCCAAUUUUUCUACAAAGACCUGUGUGAAUCAUCAUGUCUUUUGGCCAGAGCAUACUAAAUGGAAAAAGGGUUCCAUCAUCCAACCAGAGGUACUGAAUACCUCAGGGUCACUAGGGACAUUAGACUACUGGAUUGUC
rnacentral:lncRNA from 1 species